CAGUAGCCGCGGGAAUACGAGGGGUGCAAGCGUUAUUCGGAUUGAUUGGGUGUAAAGGGUGUGCAGACGGCUUAUUAAGUCACUUGUUAAAUUCUUCGGCCUAACUGAAGGUCUGCAAGUGAUACUGAUGAGCUAGAGGGUGGAAGAGAGAAGUGGAAUUCUCGGAGUAGCGGUAAAAUGCGUAGAUCUCGAGAGGAACACCAAUGGCGAAGGCAGCUUCUUGGUCCAUCCCUGACGUUCAUACACGAAAGCGUGGGGAGCAAACGGGAUUAGAUACCCCCGUAGUCCCUGUCUCUUAUAC
rnacentral:rRNA from 1 species